AUUGAACGCUGGCGGGAUGCUUUACACAUGCAAGUCGAACGAGAGGCGGAGGGGUGAGUAAUAUAUCGGAACGUGCCCAGUCGAGGGAGAUGACGACUAGAAAGAGUGGCUAAUACCGCAAAAUAUUGGCGCGGCAGAUAUUGGAUUAGCUAGUUGGUGGGGUAAAGGCUCACCAAGUCAACGCUCCGUAGCUGGUCUGAGAGGACGACCAGCCACACUGGGACUGAGACACGGCCCAGACUCCUACGGGAGGCAGCAGUGGGGAAUUUUGGACAAUGGGGGAAACCCUGAUCCAGCCACUCCGCGUGUAUGAGAAGGCUUUCGGGUUGUAAAGUACUGUUGGCAGAGAAGCGGUAUCUGCAGAAUAAGCACCGGCUAACUACGUGCCAGCAGCCGCGGUAAUAC
rnacentral:rRNA from 1 species